CCUACGGGUGGCAGCAGUGAGGAAUAUUGGUCAAUGGGCGUAAGCCUGAACCAGCCAAGUCGCGUGAGGGAUGAAGGUUCUAUGGAUCGUAAACCUCUUUUAUAAGGGAAUAAAGUGUGGGACGUGUCCUGUUUUGUAUGUACCUUAUGAAUAAGGAUCGGCUAACUCCGUGCCAGCAGCCGCGGUCAUACGGCGGAUCCGAGCGUUAUCCGGAUGUCUUGGGUUUAAAGGGUGCGUAGGCGGCCUUUUAAGUCAGCGGGUAAAGGCUGUGGCUCAACCCGAGCAUUGCCGUUGAAACUGGGAGGUUUGAGUAUGUGUGAGGCAGGCGGAAUGCGGGGUGUAGCGGUGAAAUGCUUAGAUAUCACGCAGAACCCCGAUUGCGAAGGCAGCCUGCCAAGCCAUGACUGACGCUGAGGCACGAAAGCGUGGGGAUCAAACAGGAUUAGAUACCCGGGUAGUC
rnacentral:rRNA from 1 species